CGGCGAAGGGUGAGUAACGCGUGAGCAAUCUGCCUCGAAGUCGGGAAUAGCCCCGGGAAACCGGGAUUAAUGCCGGAUGUGUCAAGUCAUACUUGCAUGACAGACUUGAUAAAGGCCGCAAGGCCGCUUUGAGAUGGGCUCGCGUCCUAUCAGCUAGUUGGCGGGGUAACGGCCCACCAAGGCGAUGACAGGUAGCUGGUCUGAGAGGAUGGUCAGCCACACUGGGACUGAGACACUGCCCAGACUCCUACGGGAGGCAGCAGUCGAGAAUAGUCUACAAUGGUCGGAAGACUGAUAGUGCGACGCCGCGUGAACGAUGAAGCCCUUCGGGGUGUAAAGUUCUUUUAUAUGUGAGCAGUGGGUUUUACGUUAAUAGCGUGGAAUCAGGGAUAUUAGCAUAUGAAUAAGCAACGGCUAACUCCGUGCCAGCAGCCGCGGUAACACGGGGGUUGCGAGCGUUGUCCGGAAUUACUAGGCGUAAAGGGCAGGUAGGCGGAUCUAUAAGUUUUUUGUCAAAUUCAACGGCUCACCCGUUGCGCGGCAGGAGAUACUGUA
rnacentral:rRNA from 1 species